GGCUUCUCAUCUGGUGUCCUGACACCCAGUCGAAGCUCCACCUUCAGACUGAAAGCCAGGUGCAGCCUUCUUAUCUGGUGUCCUGAAGCCCAGGCAAAGCUACACCUUCAGACUGAAAGCCAGGUGCAGGCUUCUUAUCUGGUGUCCUGAUGCCCAGGCGAAACUCCACCUCCAGACGUGAAGGAGGUUCACGCUUCUAUUCGGGUGUCCUGACGCCCAAGUGAAGCUCCCCCUUCAGACUGAAAGCGCGGUUCAGCCUUCUCAUCUAUUAUCCUGAUUCCCAACAGAAACUCCCUCUUCAGACUGAAAGCGAGGUGCAGGCUUCUCAUCUGGUGUCCUAACACCAAGGCAAAGCUGCACCUUCAAACUGAAAGCAAGGUGCAGGCUUCUCAUCUGGUUUCCUGACAUUCAGGCGAAGAUCCACCUUGAGAGGUGAUGCAAGGUGGAGGCUUCUCAUCUGGUGUCCAGACACAAGGCGAAUCUCCACCUCAAGACUAUUAGCGAGGUUCAGGCUUCUCAUCUGGUUUCCUGACACCCAGGUGAAGCUCCCCCUUCAGACCCGAUGGGAGGUACAGGCUUCUCACCUGGUGUCCUGAUACCCCGGCGAAGCUCCACCUUCAGAAGAAAACCAGGUGCAGGCAUCUCAUUGGGUGUGCUGACCCGAGACGAAGCUCCACCUUCAAACAUGAUGCGAGGUGCAGGCUUCUCAUCUGGUGUUCUGACGCCCAAGUGAAGCUCCACCUUCAGACUGAAAGCCAGUGCAAGCUUCUCAUCUGGUGUCCUGACGCCCAGGCGAAGCUUCACCUUCAGUCUGAAAGCCAGGUACAGACUUCUCAUCUGGUAUCCUGACACCCAGGCAAAGCUCCACCUUCAGACUGAAAGCAAGAUGCAGGCUUCUCAUCUGGUGGCCUGACAACCAGGGGAAGUUCCACCUCCAGACAUGAAUGAGGUUCAGGCUUCUGAUGUGGUGUCCUGACGCCCAGGUGAAGCUCCACCUUCAGACUGCAAGCCAGGUGGAGGCUUCUCAUCUGGUGUCCUGACACCCAUUCGAUACUCCACCUGUAGACCCGAAGUGAGGUUCUGCCUUCUAAUCUGGUGUCCUGAUAUCUAGGCGAAACUCCACAUUCGAACGGAAAGCCAGGUGCAGGCUUCUCAUCUGGUGUCCUGAACCCAGGGGAAGCUCCACCUUCAGUCUGAAAGCCAGGUGCAGACUUCUCAUCUGGUGUCCUGACACCCAGGUGAAGCUCCACCUUCAGACUGAAAGCGAGAUGCAGGCUUCUCAUCUGGUGUCCUGACACCCAGGCGAAGCUCCCCCUUCAGACUUAAAGCGAGGUGCAGGCUUCUUAUCUGGUGUCCUGACACCCAGGUGAUACUCCAACUGCAGAUGUGAAGCGAGGUUCUAGCUUCUGAUCUGGUGUCCUGAACCCAGGUAAAGCUCCACCUGCAUACUGAAAGCCAUGUACAGGCUUCUCAUCUGGUGUCCUGACACCCAGGCGAAGCUCCACCUUCAGACUGAAAGCCUGGUGCAGGCUUCUCAUCUGGUGUCCUGACACCCAGGCGAAGCUCCACAUUCCGACGUGAUGUGCGGUACAGUCUUCUCAUCUGGUGUCCUCAAACCCAGGGGAAGCUCCACCUUCAGACUGAAAGCCAUGAGCAGUCUUCUCAUCUGCUGUCCUGACGCCCAGCUGAGCUCCACCUGCAUACUGAAAGCCAGGUGCAGGCUUCUCAUCUGUUGUCCUGACACCCAGGUGAAGCUCCCCCUUCAGACUGAAAGCCAGAUACAGGCUUCUCAUCUGGUGUCCUGACACCAAGGUGAAGCUCCAUCUUCAGACGUGAAGAGAGGGACAGGCUUCUGAUCUGGUGUCCUGAUACCCAGGUGAAGCUCCCCGUUAAGAAUCAAAGCCAGGUGCUGGCUUCUCAUAUGGUGUCCUGACGCCCAGGCGAAGCUCCACCUUCAGUCUGAAAGCCAGGUACAGACUUCUCAUCUGGUAUCCUGACACCCAGGCGAAGCUCCACCUUCAGACUGAAAGCAAGAUGCAGGCUUGUCAUCUGGUGGCCUGACAACCAGGGGAAGUUCCACCUUGAGACUGAAAGCCAUGUGCAGGCUCAUCUGGUGUUCUGACACCAAGGUGAAGCUCCACCUCCAGACGUGAAUGAGGUUCAGGCUUCUGAUGUGGUGUCCUGACGCCCAGGUGAAGCUCCACCUUCAGACUGCAAGCCAGGUGGAGGCUUCUCAUCUGGUGUCCUGACACCGAGGCGAUACUCCAACUAAGAUGUGAAGUGAGGUGCAGGCUUCUCAUCUGGUGUCCUGACACCCAGGCGAAGCUCCACCUUCAGACUGAAAGUGAGGUACAGGCUUCUAUUUGGUGUCCUGACACGCAGGUGAAACUCCACCUGCAGACUGAAAGCCAGGUGCAGGCAACUCACCUGCUGUCCUGACACCCAGCGGAGCUCCACCUUCAGACUGAAAGCCAGGUGGAGGCUUCUCAUCUGGUGUCCUGACACCCAGGGGAACCUCCACCUUCAGACUGAAAGCAAGGUGCAGGCUUCUCAGCUGGUGUCCUGAUGCCCAAGAGAAGCUCCACCUUCAGGUGAAAGCCA